UGUAAGCUGGCUGUAAUGCGCCACGUAUC
rnacentral:piRNA from 1 species